rnacentral:sRNA from 1 species
GCAGGUGAAUGCAACGUCAAGCGAUGGGCGUUGCGCUCCAUAUUUGUUAUACUUUUAUUUUGAAUUACUGCAUAGCAUUUAAUUGUUACUGUCAACGACGGAUGAAAAGUGAUCCACUUAU